AAUUGACGGGGGCCCGCACAAGCGGUGGAGCAUGUGGUUUAAUUCGAUGCAACGCGAAGAACCUUACCUGGUCUUGACAUCCACAGAACUUUCCAGAGAUGGAUUGGUGCCUUCGGGAACUGUGAGACAGGUGCUGCAUGGCUGUCGUCAGCUCGUGUUGUGAAAUGUUGGGUUAAGUCCCGCAACGAGCGCAACCCUUAUCCUUUGUUGCCAGCGGUCCGGCCGGGAACUCAAAGGAGACUGCCAGUGAUAAACUGGAGGAAGGUGGGGAUGACGUCAAGUCAUCAUGGCCCUUACGACCAGGGCUACACACGUGCUACAAUGGCGCAUACAAAGAGAAGCGACCUCGCGAGAGCAAGCGGACCUCAUAAAGUGCGUCGUAGUCCGGAUUGGAGUCUGCAACUCGACUCCAUGAAGUCGGAAUCGCUAGUAAUCGUGGAUCAGAAUGCCACGGUGAAUACGUUCCCGGGCCUUGUACACACCGCCCGUCACACCAUGGGAGUGGGUUGCAAAAGAAGUAGGUAGCUUAACCUUCGGGAGGGCGCUUACCACUUUGUGAUUCAUGACUGGGGUGAAGUCGUAACAAGGUAACCGUAGGGGAACCUGCGGUUGGAUCACCUCCUUACCUUAAAGAAGC
rnacentral:rRNA from 1 species